AUUAAUGUAGUUUCUAUGAACCUAGAAGUAACAAAUACCCCCGACAAGAACUUGCACUUAUGCAUUGGAGGGAUUAUCUGCAAGAUUGCGAAGCUGGACGAUGUGGUGCUACUUUGGGAGAUGUACUAAUCUUUGCAACAGGAAGUGAUGACAUCCCACCUCUUGGCUUUACACCAAUGCCUUCACUAUGCUUUUGGGAAGAUGUUCGUCCAAGAUCAAACACGUGUGAUACCACACUUUAUCUCCCUCUAUUCCCUGGUGGUUCAAAGGAUGAAGUGCAAUAUGAUACUUUUAAAGAAAAAAUGGAUGAUGGAAUUUUAAAUUCUCCUUCUUUUGGGAUUCCAUAAAGUUUUUUAGCAGUUUUUUAUAACAAGUACAUAUUCAAUUAGUUCAAAGUUCUUAUAAUGUGUUUAUAACACUAAAUUUCAAGUUUAGUGGCGGAAUGCUACGUAUUAGCAUAAUGGUAUUCAACAAUUUACAACAAAUCAUGUUUCAUAAUAUAGUUUUAUUUGCUUUGCAAUUGGUUGCAAAAACCUUUUUGCAACAGUAUAUUUCUA